ensembl:lncRNA
GGUAUUUUCUAUCAAGCUGGCUACCUGUCAGAAGUGAUAUGUUCCUCUGACUGUUUUGUAUCCUGUUCUGUAUAACAGAAGGUUUUUUUUUUUUUACAAACCAUCAUCUCUCAGACGCUUUUACUGUUUCUCAAAAUGUUGAUUUCAGCUUCAACUCGUUACUAGCUGACUAGGCUAACCCACUUACCGGUUGUGGAUAGCUACUUAGCUAGAUAGUGCAGUCCUCCAACGUCCUCAGAGAGUAAACACAGUUUUGGUCAUCGGGUCAUAAACGAACAAGAAAUCAAAGGGUCUUCAGAAUCCCUCGGAAUGGAGCUGGGAACAAUCAACUAAGUUCUAUACUUUCUGCAGCAGAUGGCAGUGUUGGCAAAAAUGCGGGAGCGUCUUACCACGCAUGGGAAGUACUCUAAAG